GACGAACGCUGGCGGCGUGCUUAACACAUGCAAGUCGAACGCUGAAGCUUGGUGCUUGCACUGGGUGGAUGAGUGGCGAACGGGUGAGUAAUACGUGAGUAACCUGCCCUUGACUCUGGGAUAAGCCUGGGAAACUGGGUCUAAUACUGGAUACGACAUGUCACCGCAUGGUGGUGUGUGGAAAGGGUUUUACUGGUUUUGGAUGGGCUCACGGCCUAUCAGCUUGUUGGUGGGGUAAUGGCUCACCAAGGCGACGACGGGUAGCCGGCCUGAGAGGGUGACCGGCCCCACGGGGACUGGGACACGGCCCAGACCCCUACGGGGGGCAGGGGUGGGGAAUAUUGCAAAAGGGGCGGAAGCCUGAUGGAGGGACGCCGGGUGGGGGAUGACGGCCUUCGGGUUGUAAACCCCUUUCAGCACGGAAGAAGCGAAAGUGGGGGUACGUGCAGAAAAAACCCCGGCAAACUCGGG
rnacentral:rRNA from 1 species